AAUAUGUCAAUCAAACACAAACACAAAUUAUACCGAUUUCAUAUUUUUUUUCACUUUCUAGUAUUCUAUGAUUUAAAAUAUAUUAAUUUAGUACUUUAUAAUUUUAUUUUUUUCUUUUCGUCAGCUCCUUUGUUAACAUUUCGUUAAAUUAUAUAUAAAAAAAAUUUUAGAUAUUCCACCUAGAUUUAUCGAAUAUUUACUUUAGUACUUUUUAAUUUUAACUUUGUCACUGAUUUAACAAAAAAAAUAGUGGAGUAAAUAAUUAAAAACAUAAAAAUUAUGGGACACUAAAUUGAUACACUUUAAACCAUAGAGUACUAAAAUAAAAAAAAAAUAUGAAACCACAGUAGUGGCAUUUAAAUUUUUUCUUAAAAAAAAAAUUUGUGUAUU
rnacentral:lncRNA from 1 species